AUGAUACUUCAGAGCUCAUUCACUGAGUUUGAAGUCUGCCAGUGGGAGCUAUAAUUGAUCAUCUGCUCACUUUCCUUCCCUAACAACUGCAUAAUGUGUGUAACACAAUGCAGUGGACUGAGUUAUAGGGUGCAAUUCCCACUCUACCAGGGAUUUACAUCACAGUCUAGAUCCUUUAAGUGCACAGCAUGGAAAAUGAGUUCUCAGCUGGCCACAGAAGAGAGAGAAGAGAAAAAUCUAAAGAGGCGUAAACACUGCCAGAAAGUAAGAAGCAAGUCUCUUGGAAACUCUCUGGGCUUUAACAUUGUCUCUUUGGCAGAGGGAACGAGAGCUGGGACACCUCACCAGUCUUGCUUCUGCUUUUGCAAGGCAGACUCAAAAUGCAGCCAGAGAUGGAGCUUCUUAGAGUACCACAAACACCCGCUGUCCUUUCUGUUCUCACAGAUUUCCCCUGUGAUGGAAGUCUAAGAUCUACUUUUCAGGCACGGAACACAUUAGGUUCUCCAUUCAAUGUCUCUGCAAAUAUGGGACAGGAGACUUGAAAAAUGCCCCAACAGGUGGAAUCUUGGAUGAUGUCCUAUUGAUACAAUGAGCUGACAUCUCAUUGACAUCUUUAG
ensembl:antisense Gm14092 predicted gene 14092